UGUGCUUUUAUACAUAAUUUAUCUUUUUGUUACUUCUCUAGUUGUACCCCGAACCAAAUUUACACACUGUUUAUUUAGUUUAGCUAUCAUUUUGUGAGAUGGAGGAAAGAUAUUUGGAUAAGAGAAAGUUG